rfam:Corynebacterium matruchotii ATCC 14266 gcontig_1125149795840, whole genome shotgun sequence.
ACGGGAGACUUCCACUCGGAUCGUUCGGCACGUACCUGCCGAUGGAGGAUUUUUAU